UACGGAGGGUGCAAGCGUUAUCCGGAUUCACUGGGUUUAAAGGGUGCGUAGGUGGGCAAGUAAGUCAGUGGUGAAAUCUCCGGGCUUAACCCGGAAACUGCCAUUGAUACUAUUUGUCCUGAAUAUUGUGGAGGUCAGCGGAAUAUGUCAUGUAGCGGUGAAAUGCUUAGAUAUGACAUAGAACACCAAUUGCGAAGGCAGCUGGCUACACAAAUAUUGACACUGAGGCACGAAAGCGUGGGGAUCAAACAGG
rnacentral:rRNA from 1 species